rnacentral:rRNA from 1 species
UAAUGGGUCAGCGACUUAUAUUCUGUAGCAAGGUUAACCGAAUAGGGGAGCCGAAGGGAAACCGAGUCUUAACUGGGCGUUAAGUUGCAGGGUAUAGACCCGAAACCCGGUGAUCUAGCCAUGGGCAGGUUGAAGGUUGGGUAACACUAACUGGAGGACCGAACCGACUAAUGUUGAAAAAUUAGCGGAUGACUUGUGGCUGGGGGUGAAAGGCCAAUCAAACCGGGAGAUAGCUGGUUCUCCCCGAAAGCUAUUUAGGUAGCGCCUCGUGAAUUCAUCUCCGGGGGUAGAGCACUGUUUCGGCAAGGGGGUCAUCCCGACUUACCAACCCGAUGCAAACUGCGAAUACCGGAGAAUGUUAUCACGGGAGACACACGGCGGGUGCUAACGUCCGUCGUGAAGAGGGAAACAACCCAGACCGCCAGCUAAGGUCCCAAAGUCAUGGUUAA